rnacentral:rRNA from 1 species
AAUGGAUUAAGAGCUUGCUCUUAUGAAGUUAGCGGCGGACGGGUGAGUAACACGUGGGUAACCUGCCCAUAAGACUGGGAUAACUCCGGGAAACCGGGGCUAAUACCGGAUAACAUUUUGAACCGCAUGGUUCGAAAUUGAAAGGCGGCUUCGGCUGUCACUUAUGGAUGGACCCGCGUCGCAUUAGCUAGUUGGUGAGGUAACGGCUCACCAAGGCAACGAUGCGUAGCCGACCUGAGAGGGUGAUCGGCCACACUGGGACUGAGACACGGCCCAGACUCCUACGGGAGGCAGCAGUAGGGAAUCUUCCGCAAUGGACGAAAGUCUGACGGAGCAACGCCGCGUGAGUGAUGAAGGCUUUCGGGUCGUAAAACUCUGUUGUUAGGGAAGAACAAGUGCUAGUUGAAUAAGCUGGCACCUUGACGGUACCUAACCAGAAAGCCACGGCUAACUACGUGCCAGCAGCCGCGGUAAUACGUAGGUGGCAAGCGUUAUCCGGAAUUAUUGGGCGUAAAGCGCGCGCAGGUGGUUUCUUAAGUCUGAUGUGAAAGCCCACGGCUCAACCGUGGAGGGUCAUUGGAAACUGGGAGACUUGAGUGCAGAAGAGGAAAGUGGAAUUCCAUGUGUAGCGGUGAAAUGCGUAGAGAUAUGGAGGAACACCAGUGGCGAAGGCGACUUUCUGGUCUGUAACUGACACUGAGGCGCGAAAGCGUGGGGAGCAAACAGGAUUAGAUACCCUG